rnacentral:rRNA from 1 species
UGGGGAAUAUUGCACAAUGGGCGGAAGCCUGAUGCAGCGACGCCGCGUGAGGGAUGACGGCCUUCGGGUUGUAAACCUCUUUCAGCACCGACGAAGCGAGAGUGACGGUACCUGCAGAAGAAGCGCCGGCCAACUACGUGCCAGCAGCCGCGGUAAGACGUAGGGCGCGAGCGUUGUCCGGAUUUAUUGGGCGUAAAGAGCUCGUAGGCGGCUUGUCGCGUCGUCUGUGAAAACCCACAGCUCAACUGUGGGCUUGCAGUCGAUACGGGCAGGCUAGAGUUCGGUAGGGGAGACUGGAAUUCCUGGUGUAGCGGUGAAAUGCGCAGAUAUCAGGAGGAACACCGGUGGCGAAGGCGGGUCUCUGGGCCGAUACUGACGCUGAGGAGCGAAAGCGUGGGGAGCGAACAGGAUUAGAUACCCCCGUAGUCC